AGGAGGCUUCGAAGGAUGGGUUCUGUACUAACACGUAGUAAAGAUAAAAACAACAAAAUGCCGAGGAGUAAGAGAAACACAACCAAGAGCUCUGCGCCUGUCGUGACGGAGGAGGUCCCCGCUACUCGCAGGACUCGUGGAGCUGCCGCCCCCCCAACUGUAGAGACACCCUCACCAAAAAAGACUAGGAAAAGUAGCCCCAGCCCUUCACCUGCACCAAGAGGUAGAAGCAGAGGAAGAAGCACAAAAGAAGCAGAGACCAAACAAGAGAAGGGACAAGGUGAUGAUGUAGAGGAGCCAAGUCCAAAGAAGGGGCGAGUAACUCGAGCUGUGGUUCAGCAGGAGGAAGCGCCAUCUCGUGGGAGGGCAAGUAGUCGCAAAGCUGCAGAACCAAAAAAAACUGCACCCUCACCAACCCCGAAAGGUCGCUCCAGCUCUCGUCAGAAAGCUGUUCCCACGCCAACCAAGGCUGAGGAACCAAAGGCAGAAACAUCAAGGUCCCGCAGUAGGUCUAAACCGACAAAACCGGAACCUAAAACACCAGAACCCAAAACAGCUAAGGCCAAGAGCCAGACAAGGAAAACACCAGCUAAAAAGGCAACACCUAGUCCCAGGAAGACCCCAGUGAAACCUGAACCAUCACCAAAGCCUGCUGCCUCCAGGAGCAGAAGUAGGGGCAAGAAAGAUGAUAAGGCAAAUGAUCUGCCAUCAGCACAACUUAUCCUCACUAAGAUUGAUAGUCCUAGCAAAUCUAACAAUACAAGCUUUGCUGAAAAUGAAGAAGAAACAAUAUUGCCUUCCAGAAGUAGGGGUCAGUCAUCAGCUAAAACUUCUCCUCCCAAGGCCAGCCCAAAGGAAUCUAGAAGAUCUAAAUCAUCUGAAAAAUCUACUCCUCCAACUCGGCGAAGUAGAAGGUCUGUGGAAGCUGAAGAGGAAGCUGAAGAGAAAGUCAAGGAAAUGGAGAGUGAGGAAAAAGAAGAGGAGACAAAGGAUAAAGAAAGAGUGCUUCAGACAGAGCAGAUAGAAAAAGCAGAAGCUGUAAAAAAAUCAACUGAGUCUGAGGAGGAAAAUAGAGAUGAGGAUAUGGAUGCAAAAGAUACAGCAGCAGAAAUGGAGGAUGUGGUAGAGGAGAAAGAAAGUGAUGAUGUGAAAGAGAAAGAAAAUGAUGUUGAGGAGGAAGAAAAUGAGGAAGCUGCAGAAAAAAAGGAUGAAGUAAUGAAAGAGGAAGAAGGUAAAGAUGGGAAGGAGGAAGAAAAUGAAGAAGUGAAGAUGGGAGAAACUAAGGUUGCAGAUGUAGUGGAAACUGAUGAAAGACAGGGGCAAGAAGAAAAGAUGGAGGAAGAAAUGGAAGAGGAGGAAUCAAAAGACAAGCCAAAGUCAUGUGAGCCUGAUCAGGAGUCAACAACAUUAGAACCCACACUACCAUUAAAACCUUCACCAGUGAAAGAGUCAUCAGCUCCAGCAGCGGAAGAAUGUAAACCUCCUGAAAUAGAAGCAAUAUCUGAUGACGAUGUGGAAAAGGAAGAACCAAUGGAUGAGGAUGUCGUUGAGGUACAGGAAAAUGAAGCAUCAGAAGACACAGCAGUUGCACCAGCAGUUACAGAACCAGUUGCAGCACAGGUAGAAAUGGUCCAGGAAGUGCCAAAACCCGCAAUAGCUGAUGGAGAGCAGCAAAAUGGAUCCCCUGGUGAUCCUCUUUCUUCUCCAAGUCGCAAACGCAAGUGGGAUGAUUUUGAUGAUGAAGGUGAGGACCUAGCUCCAAAGAAGGCCCGACGGUCUAUUGAUAUGGCUGAUGUUACAAGUGAAGGAGUUGUAACCACUAAUGGUGAAAAUCAAAUGUCAAAACAGAUGGCAGAAGAGGAAUCAACGGAAGCUACUUUAGAUCAGAAAGCCCAGGACCCAGAAGUGGAACCAACUUCUUCAGAUACAGCCAGUCAGAACAUUGAGAAGGAGUAUGUUGUAGUAAAUAUGGAUGAAAUACCAGCAGCUAAUAGCACAGAAGUCUUGCAAUGUUUACCUACAGAUUUGCCAAAAGAGGAGGCUGUGGCUCCAGCUUUAGCAGCAGAACAAAGUCAGUCAAUAGCUCCUCCAUCAGAAGUGGUAUCAGAUGUUAAUCAGGAACAAACAACAGCAGCAGUGACCUCCCCUUCAUCAGAAUUCAACCCAGUGCUGUCCAGGAAAUAUAUCCCCAAUCCAUCUUAUCAUUUAACAGGGGACUCAAACAAACAAUUCUCAGUGGUUAGUUACAACAUUUUAGCCCAGUGUCACCUAGAAAGAAAUGACUAUUCAUUUACAGAGUCUCAGUAUUUAGAAGAAAGUUAUCGUCAUCAAAACCUCAUGAAGGAAAUAAAGUACCUUAAUGCAGAUUUAGUGUGUAUGCAGGAGGUGGGACCUUUGUACUAUGAGUCUUUGCUCAAACCAGCUAUGAGCAGGUUGGGGUACGAGGGUCUAAUGAAGAAGAGGACACAGGAGUAUUUUAAUGAGGGAGAAGCCACGUUCUACAAGACAGACAGAUUUUCUGCAGUGGAGACUUGUACCUACUCCCUUAAGGACUUGGCUGAACAGGAAUUGGAGGAUGGCGGUGUGAGUGAGGAAGUGAAAGUGUCUAUCAGAAAAUACCUGAACCUACCGGACGUUCUGGUGCUGACCAAGCUGCGUUGUAAUGUCACGGGCAAUGUAUUGUGUAUGGGUAACAUUCAUGUCCAGUGGGGCAAGAUGGAGAUCCCUGAUGCUCAGUGUAUACAGAUUGUAUGUGCCAUAAAGGAAUUAGCAAAGCAGGGAGGAAGCGAUUGUCACGCUCAGAUUCUGUGUGGAGAUUUCAACUCAGAAGCGACCAGUCCUGGGUACAAGCUGGCGAUGGGAGGUUAUCUUACUGAUGAAGUCCUCAAACAACUACAGGCUCUAGAGAAUCUAGAGAUGACAGACUCUAGUAAGGCAGCACUUGUAAACCACCUUUGGAGAGCAUUCCAACACACAUCGGACAUGAAAAGUGCUUACCAGUCAGCACAGGGAUGUGAACCAGUGGUGACCUCUUUCAACCGAGUGAUGCUGGCAGCAGUUGACUACAUCUUCUAUUGCGGCAGCAAUCUUCACAACGUUGGGGUACUACAGACGGCCAAUGAGGAACACAUUAAGGCCACAGGCGGUAUCCCUGAUCAACUCUUCCCAUCAGAUCACAUCUCCUUGAAGGCAGUCUUUGCAUUUUCAUAAUCAUCAUAACAGAUGUUCUUUACUCAUCUCUUCACACCCAUGGACCAUUGAAAUUAAUAGAGGAGGGGAUACAGCUUGACUGGUCUGGAUGUGAUUCAUUGGAGCAUGACAGCAUAAUCAACGUCACUAGUAAAGUCUUCUCACAGUUCGUCAUCCAUCUUCAUCAUCAGAAACAUCUUCCAGUGCCGUACAGACCUUCACCCUACUCCUUGCAGCAUCACAAAGUUUUAUAGCAUAUAGACAUUGAGCAAAGUUUAUAUAUCAAUAGAAACCAUUGUCUAAACUUAAACUUAUUCAUGUUCUGCAAGAAAUUUAAGACCAAUACAUUCUUUUUGUAAAAUACUUUUAAUGUUGUUAAAAUUACUUGCAGAAUGAAUUUUUAUUAAACCAUAUAGUGGUGUUUUGAAUUCUCAGUUGGUUUUUUUUGAUAAUUAAUCGUUAUUGUAAGGUAGUUGUAUUAAAAACGAAAUGAUUUUAAAACUUUCAAAUGCAUUUAAAACUCUAAUACAGUUAUUUCAAGAUAUAGUUAAAUCCAACAUUUGUUUCUAGUCAUUGAAUUGUGGUGACAUAUCAAACAACUUCUUGUUCCUAAGAGUUACAGAAAAUAUUGGUCUGCUUCCAGACAAGUAGAUUACUAUUUCUAGUUAAUCCUCAGAUUUACAGAAAAUGUUGGUCUGCUUCCAGACAAGUAGAUUAUUAUUUCUAGUUAAUCUGAAAAUUGUAAGGAUUAUUUUUAACUCGUAAUGUCCUAAAAUUAGGCAUGCUGCCAUGUAUGGCUUUAAAUUUGAAACUACUCAUUUGGAGGUAAACUCAUUUUAUUGGUAAAGUCAGAUACAUUAGAAUUAGACCAUCUGCAAAUAUUUUAUAUUUUUGUUUAUUUUUACUUAAGUAACAAUUAACUUUUGCAGUCAGUUUUCACAGCAGUUUCAGCAAUUUUAAGAGAUAGAAAGAAAUGAAAUGAUGUGGUCACAGAUUAAAAAUACAUAUAAUAUUCUAUUGUCAUAUCAAUAUCAUAUCAUUUUCAUGAUCUGUCAACUGUAACAGGUUAAAAAAUGGAAUAAAAUGAAAAAGAGUUUUACAUACAAUUAUCACCAGUGACUGUUUAACUCCAUUCCUUUCAAGAUUUAGAUAUUAGUAGUACCUGUAGUAACAUAAGACCAGUGAUGGUUUCUUUUGAAAAAUAUUGCAGUCUCAAGAAUCCCCAAGUAAGUAGGGAUGUGAGAAUAUAUAUUUCCACUUCCUGUACAGUAGUGUUGAGAAUUCGAUUACGUAUGUGCAGAUGUCACUUUCCACUUACUAAGGUAUUGAGAAUUCCUGAGUGAGUUGGUGUGUGACAAUGUUUAUUUCCACUUACUGAAGUCUUCAGAAACACAGAAUGAGUCAUUUUCACUUAAUUCAAAGUUUUGAGAGUCCCUGAAUCAGUAGGUGCCUAAGAAUAUCUGUUUCUACUCGAGUCUUCAGAAUCUCCCAGCGAGAAGGUGUGUGUGGAUGCGUAUUUCCAUUUACUGCCAGGUGCCAUCUUUUGGUGUGAUUCUGUAUAAACCACAAUAAAUAAAAUCCAUCGUCUCGUGUGUAUGUCCAUUAUCUUGCACGAUACCAAUCACUUGGUAAGCAAAAUAAUAUAUCUCUCUUCUGUCCACAUCUGGUUUUGAUCGUGUCUUGGUAGAUAGCUAUAUAUACUUGUAUUUUAUAAUCAGAGGUACUAACUAGAGGAAGAGGGACCAAAUCUGACUUAUUUUGCUUAUUGAAUGAGGACAACCUUUCUUUGAGGACUUUUGAAGAAACAAUAUAUCAAUUAUCAUACAGUAAUAUCAAUAGGAUAGCAACAAGUGACCAUUUAUAGAUAAGUGGUCUUUGGUUGUCUUCUUCUCAUUUAUUAUGAUUUCGGUUAUUUUAAGAUGAAUUAUACAUUAGAGUAUGCGAGAGAGAACGAUUGUUUUGGGUAUUGUUCAUUUCUAUGAUUUUCUCUCUUGUCCAUUAAGGCAGUUGAGUUGGAUUUAUGUUAACAAUUUAAUGACAGUCAUAUUUCAAGGCUUUUGUUUUUUUAAUUUGGAAUUCUUGUUUUUUAAAAGAUAAGUACUGUGGAUCUCUACCCGUUGGACACUUAAAGAAGUUGAUAAUCGGUCCAAAGUUUAUGUUGGUGCUAUUGUACAGAAAGACUUGAAGAGACACUUAAAUACUAAAAUUUAAAUGAUACUCCCUGCAGCAUUCAGAAUAUAAACUUUAAUAUUGCAUGUGGUAUGUCUAGACCAGCUUGUGCAUCACAUUGCACUUGUUUGCUAAAUUCAUCCAGCUGCAAUAUUGAAGCAUGUCAAUAUCAAUGGACCCUUGCUUUAAAAAUGUUGUUUCCCUGCACUGUAUUGACAGACGACUGUAACCCUCUACCAAGUACAGUAAAUGUCAAGAAACCAGCAGUAUUAGUUAUGUUAAAUUUUAAUGUGUGCUUAUAUAUGUUACGAAGAAGGCUCAUUUUAUUAAUGUGUAUAUAAAACUGGAAUAUAUGGGCUGGUAUUCUUUUUCUGAUGUUUCUGUCCAAGAAAUAUUUUUGGAUGGAUUCAUCUUUCAGUUAAUUAUAGAAACAUUUUUGAAACCAUUCAAACUUCAGUUUUAUAAUCAGAUUGUUGAUUUGCAUUUAAAUCUAUUGAACUGAACACUUUAAGUAAAGCAUUUUCUGUAGACUAAAUUGUAAUAUUUUUAUAUUGAAACAUAGAUAAAUUUUGUACAGAUGCACUUUUGAUGUGCAAUGUUAAAGAUGUAAAUUUUUGAAAAUUACAUUAACAGUCCCAUGACAGUAUCAGGUUUGGUCCAUGUUGUGAACAGCAGAAAAUGAAAAAAGGAUCUUUACUGCUUUUAUGAAAUUGUUCAUUUAAAUACAGCCUCUCAGUAGUAAUUCAAAGACAACUCCUUUUUACAGUUCUAAUGAAACUAGACAAACUUAGUUAUGAAUGCUUUUCUUAUUGGCAAAAGGGACUUAACAUAAUAUUUAAAGAAAUAGUCAUUAAUUGUUUUUAGGCGAGAUAUUAAACCAAGAACUACUCUUAAACCUGUACAUCGUUAUUUUACAUAUUUUGUCGUGAGCUCCCUGACCAGGACCGCCCUGUUUGGUCGGAGUAAGUCCUACCUGGAUUACCUUGUCUGGUUAGAAUAGGUCGUGAUCUUGAUGACCUGGACUACUCUGUCCAGUUUGAGUAAGUAUUUACCUCCCUUUCUUGGAACUCUCUGUCCAGUUGGAGUAGGUACUGAACUCCCUGACAUAGACUGCCCUGUCCAGUUUGAGUAGGUAUUUACCUCCCUUUCUUGGAACUCUCUGUCCAGUUGGAGUAGGUACUGAACUCCCUGACAUAGACUGCCCUGUCCAGUUUGAGAAGGUCUAAACUCCCUGACAUAGACUGCCUUGUCCAGUUUGAGAAGGUCUGAACUCCCUGACAUAGACUGCCUUGUCCAGUUUGAGUAGGUCUGAACUCCCUGACAUAGACUGCCUUGUCCAGUUUGAGUAGGUCUGAACUCCCUGACAUAGACUGCCUUGUCCAGUUUGAGAAGGUCUGAACUCCCUGACAUAGACUGCCUUGUCCAGUUUGAGAAGGUCUGAACUCCCUGACAUAGACUGCCUUGUCCAGUUUGAGAAGGUCUGAACUCCCUGACAUAGACUGCCUUGUCCAGUUUGAGAAGGUCUGAACUCCCUGACCUGGGACGCUCUGUUCAAUGGCAGGUCUUGAUGUGGGCCACUCUGUCCGGUUUGAGUGGGUACAUAACUUGAUGAAGGACAGAUGAUCCAUUUGUACAAUGUGUUAGUAUAUAAAUACACAACCAGGUAGCUCUUUUGUAUACAGUUAUAUCAUGUUCAAUCAUUAAUUGGUUUAUAUUUGAUUCAUGUUAUGAUUUCAAAGUGUUAAAUUUAACAAUUGAAUUUUGGAAUUUAAAAAAAAAAAUUUAAAAAAAAUCGAUUUUUAAUGUUGAAAUAAUUUUGUUGUAUUCAAUUAAUAUGAAGAUGUAUUGAUUUUGAGUAAAUUAGAUAUUUGAAGUAAAUAAAGAAAUUUGACUGCA
rnacentral:misc_RNA from 1 species